rnacentral:rRNA from 1 species
UACGGAGGGGGCAAGCGUUAUCCGGAAUCACUGGGUUUAAAGGGUGCGUAGGCGGCGCAAUAAGUCAGAGGUGAAAGCCUGCAGCUCAACUGUAGAAUUGCCUUUGAUACUGCUGCGCUUGAAUCAGGUUGAGGUUGGCGGAAUGUGGCAUGUAGCGGUGAAAUGCAUAGAGAUGCCAGAGAACACCAAUUGCGAAGGCAGCUGACUGGGCCUGAAUUGACGCUGAGGCACGAAAGCGUGGGGAGCAAACAGG